rnacentral:rRNA from 1 species
UACGUAGGGACCGAGCGUUGUCCGGAAUCAUUGGGCGUAAAGCGCGUGUAGGCGGCUCGAUAAGUCUGCUGUGAAAGUCCAGGGCUCAACCCUGGGAUGCCGGUGGAUACUGCAGGGCUAGAGUCCGGAAGAGGCGAGUGGAAUCCUGGUGUAGCGGUGAAAUGCGCAGAUAUCAGGAGGAACACCGAUGGCGAAGGCAGCUCGCUGGGACGGUACUGACGCUGAGGCGCGAAAGCGUGGGGAGCAAACAGG